rnacentral:rRNA from 1 species
ACGCUCGACACCUACGGGAGCAGCAGUGGGGGAUAUUGCACAAUGGGGGGAACCCUGAUGCAGCGACGCCGCGUGAGGGAAGAAGGUUUUCGGAUUGUAAACCUCUGUCCUCAGGGAAGAAGAUGACGGUACCUGAGGAGGAAGCCACGGCUAACUACGUGCCUGCAGCCGCGGUAAUCUGAGCGGGCUGGCAAGGC